GGAAGGUGCCCAAUAGUGGGGGAUAGUCCGGGGAAAAGCCGGAUUAUUACCGCAUGUGACCUUAGGGGGAAAGCGGGGGGACUCGCAAGAGCCUCCCGCUAUUGGAGCGGCCGAUAUCAGAUUAGCUAGUUGGUGGGUAAAGGCCUACCAAGGCGACGAUCUGUAACUGGUAUGAGAGGACGACCAGCCACAAUGGGACUGAGGCACGGCCCAGGCCCCUACGGGAGGCAGCAGUGGGGGAAUUUUGGACAAUGGGGGCAAGCCUGAUCCAUCAAUGCCGCGUGCAGGAUGAAGGCCUUCGGGUUGUAAACUGCUUUUUUACGGAACGAAACGGCUCUUUAUAAUAAAGAGGGCUAAUGACGGUACCGUAAGAAUAAGCACCGGCUAAUUACGUGCCAGCAGCCGCGGUAAUAUGUAGGGGGCGAGCGUUAAUCGGAAUUACUGGGCGUAAAGCGUGCGCAGGCGGUUAUAUAAGACAGAUGUGAAAUCCCCGGGCUCAACCUGGGACCUGCAUUUGUGACUGUAUAGCUAGAGUACGGUAGAGGGGGAUGGAAUUCCGCGUGUAGCAGUGAAAUGCGUAGAUAUGCGGAGGAACACCGAUGGCGAAGGCAAUCCCCUGGACCUGUACUGACGCUCAUGCACGAAAGCGUGGGGGGCAAACAGGAUUAGAUACCCUGGUAGUCCACGCCCUAAACGAUGUC
rnacentral:rRNA from 1 species